GUACAACCUCCCCUUCCUCUGAACCAAAGAAGUAUCAUCCUUAAAACAUCUUCAACCAGCCCACUGGAAUAAAUGUUUGUUCUUUCAGCUUCAGAAUGCAGCAUCUAUUGAAGGAAUGUUUCACUAUAUUGCACAGGAAUGACAGCAGCAAAUUCCAGCCCCCAGGUUCUCCUCCAUGCCUCCCAAAACCAAGCUCGGUAGUGGCAGAGGACGUCCAAACAGACCGAGAUUGUUCAUUGGCAUGACAGGCCAGACUGCGCACGUUAAUUCAAGCCAUCCUCACGUCAAAUAAAACGUUGAUACAUCAUUUUGUCUACAAGCUUAAAAAAAUGCUAGUAACUCAAGGCAGAAUGAGAAGCAUAAGCUCCAUGAGGGCAGAGUGCACAUCUGUCUUGCUAAGCCCUACACCUGUGGAGAUUCCGCAGCAGGGGACGGUGGAAGAGCUUUGAGGCAGGAAAAGGACUCACCUUCCACUGCUGGAGGGAUCCACAGGCAAGGCACGGGGAGGAGUGCAGGCAGCCUAGGAGCGGGGACCAACCUUAGCUGGCAGCCAGCAAAGAAAUAAUCAGUUCAGUCCCACAGCUGCCAGGAAAGGAAUUCAGCAACGACCUGAAUGAGCUUUAACUUGGAUUUAUCCUCAGAGCCUCCAGAAAGAAUCACAGCCUGGCCAACACCUUGGUUCUCUGACUUUGUGAAACUCCAUGCAGAGAAGCCAGCUGAGCCUUGCUGCACCCAGACUUCUGAUCUACAGAACUGUGAGAUAAUAGUGGAUCUUCCAUCUGCUGGAAGCAACCAGACCCCAGCAACACCAGAGGUAAGCAGUGCUUCAGAGAAGCUCCUGGAACUCUGCAAACUCAGUCUUCAGCACAAAGUGCACCCCUUCCCCCAGCAAACCUGAUUGACAGGACCAACAAAACCCCACGAAAGGCCCAUCCAGCAAGUCAAACUGUGCCCAAGCCCAGCUCCAACUGCAGCAGCCCUUAGAGCAGCCUUGGAAA